UACGUAGGGGGCAAGCGUUGUCCGGAUUUAUUGGGCGUAAAGAGCGUGUAGGCGGUCAGGUAGGUCCGUUGUGAAAACUCGAGGCUCAACCUCGAGACGCCGAUGGAAACCAUCUGACUAGAGUCCGGAAGAGGAGAGUGGAAUUCCUGGUGUAGCGGUGAAAUGCGCAGAUAUCAGGAAGAACACCCGUGGCUAAGGCGGCUCUCUAGUACGGUACUGACGCUGAGGAGCGAAAGCAUGGGGAGCGAACAGG
rnacentral:rRNA from 1 species